AAAUCAUGGUGCGGGCAUCUUCUCAAUAAUUCCCCAAAUCGCUCCCACGUCUCGAACAAUUAUUCUGACUCAUUCUGCUGAAAGCAACAUAUUUCUGUCAUCAACUU